rnacentral:rRNA from 1 species
AUCUUCCGCAAUGGACGAAAGUCUGACGGAGCAACGCCGCGUGAGUGAUGAAGGUUUUCGGAUCGUAAAGCUCUGUUGCCAGGGAAGAACAGCUAGGCGAGUAACUGCGCUUAGAAUGACGGUACCUGAGAAGAAAGCCCCGGCUAACUACGUGCCAGCAGCCGCGGUAAUACGUAGGGGGCAAGCGUUGUCCGGAAUUAUUGGGCGUAAAGCGCGCGCAGGCGGCUUUGUAAGUUUGGUGUUUAAUCUCAGAGCUCAACUCUGAUUCGCAUCGAAAACUGCAAGGCUUGAGUACAGAAGAGGAAAGUGGAAUUCCACGUGUAGCGGUGAAAUGCGUAGAGAUGUGGAGGAACACCAGUGGCGAAGGCGACUUUCUGGGCUGUAACUGACGCUGAGGCGCGAAAGCGUGGGGAGCAAACAGG